AACGAAGUGAAAAUGUCUUGUCUGGAUUUCGAAAAGACGACUUGUCCCUCUGUUUAUGAAGGAAUAUUGCUUAAAGACGGUUUUCCAUACUUAAAGCUACACACCAUAGCAAGUUUGGGCACUUUAGGUAUUUAUGCACCAAAAAAUAGUGCCCGAUACUUAUAUCAGAUGGCAAUUGAACUGACCAAGGUGUCUUGGACUCUUUUUGCUUAAUUAAUUCAUUCUUGCUUCAAAAUGCAAACAGACGACAUUAUAUGAUACCCUUGUGUUACACGUUCAAUUUGUGGAAAAAUAAUUUCAAAAAUUCAAAGACAAAAGUGGCUUUAUUUCUAUUUUAUGUUGUGAAAUCGAGGCUUUUGUCCUUGACACAGGGGAGACAAUCUCACAAGCAUAAAACGAAGUAAAAAUGUCUUGUCUGGAUUUCGAAAGACGACUUGUUCCUCUGUUUAUGAAGGAAUAUUGCUUAAAGACGGUUUUCAAUGCUUAAAGCUACACACCAUAGGAAGAUUGGGCACUUUAGGUAUUUAUGCAC